rnacentral:rRNA from 1 species
UACGGGGGGGGCAAGCGUUGUUCGGAAUUACUGGGCGUAAAGGGCUCGUAGGCGGCCAACUAAGUCGGAUGUGAAAUCCCUCAGCUUAACUGGGGAACUGCAUCCGAUACUGGAUGGCUUGAGUUUGGGAGAGGGAUGCGGAAUUCCAGGUGUAGCGGUGAAAUGCGUAGAUAUCUGGAGGAACACCGGUGGCGAAGGCGGCAUCCUGGACCAGCACUGACACUGAGGAGCGAAAGCCAGGGGAGCAAACGGG